rnacentral:rRNA from 1 species
AUGUUGGGCAAGAAAGGAGAGGGCACGCCGACUGCAGCCCCGGACGCCAAGAAUCCUUACCUGAAGCAGCCGGCCGGCGAGAAUGCAGUUGGCUCGCGGACGGCCUCCGCGGACGAAACCUCUGACGGCGAGCAGUUGCUGAGCUUAUCUGAAGCUCUGUAUUCGAAGAGUUACGGUGAUGUACCGGUGGAGGUGUUCAUGACUGUGCCGGUCCGGCGGCCUCUUGACCGGCUCAAUCUGGCAGAUAUCAGCCGUGAAGCCGCAGGCAGGAUUGUGCUGGUGCAGGGCUUUGCGCAGACGAUAAAGAAGGUGAACAAGAACAUUACUCUGGUAGUCCUCAGAGAGGGUUUGAGCAGUAUCAAGUGUGUCGUGUUGGCGGAUGAUCCGGGGAUAUGCGAGGACAUGGUUACUUUCAUCCGGAAGCUGAAUAAGGAAAGCUUUGUUGAAGUUGAAGGACUAAUUGAGACGAUGCGUGGCACCCAGCAGAUUCGAGUCAAGAAGCUAUACUGUAUUGACGAGGCGGGUGGACUCCCAUUUCAGCUCGAGGAUGCAGCCCGAGGAGCACAUAAACAGUUUGACACGCAAGGAAAAAAGCUAGCCCAUGUUUCCCUCAGUGUUCGCUUGAACUCAAGGUUCUUUGAUCUCAGGAUUAGGGUCAGUCAGGCUGUCUUCUGGAUUCAGAGUGAAGUAACGACUCAUUUCAUGCAGUUUAUGAUCAAAGGGGGAUUCAUGUGUACCCAUACCCCCAAAAUUACUGGAGUUAGUGAGGGAGGAUCAGCGGUCUUUAAGGUGAACUACUUCAAAGAACAAGCGUCCCUGGCACAGUCACCCCAACUCUAUAAACAAAUGCUUAUCAACGGAGGAAUAAACCGAGUGUUUGAGGUCGGUCCUGUUUAUCGCGCAGAAGAUUCAAAUACUCACAGGCAUCUUUGCGAAUACAUAGGUCUUCAUGCAGAGAUGCAAAUCAAGGAGCAUUAUUUUGAGGUUAUAGAUUUCGUUGAUGCGCUGUUUGUUGACUUAUUUGAUCACCUGGCCAAAAACUGUUCAGAGAUGCUGGACAUAAUACAAGAACAAUACCCCUGUGAAAGACUGAAGUACCUUCAGCAAAAUGUGAGGCUCAAAUACUCCGAUGGAAUCAAAAUGUUACAAGAAUCGGGUUUUCCAAUCCAAGAGCCACAAGACUUAAACAAUAAGGCGGAGCUAAUGCUAGGGAAACUCGUCCUUGAGAAGUACAAAACAGAUUUCUUCAUAUUGUACGAGUUUCCAUUGGCAGUCAGACCAUUUUACACAAUGCCGUCCGGGCAAGAGCGUAAUCCUGGUAGUUACAGUAAUUCCUUCGAUGCUUACAUUAGAGGCCAAGAAGUCCUUUCAGGUUCUCAGAGGAUCCACAAUAAGUCGUUGCUGAUUAAAAGGAUAGAUGAGCGGGGAUAUAUCAAAGCAAUCUUUCAGCAGUUCACGGAUACUUUCGGGUGCGGAGCACCACCGAGAGGAGGUUUCGGAGCUGGACUCGAGCGGCUUGUGAUGCUUUACUUAGGAGUGCCGGAUAUUAGAAUUGCUUCACUUUUUCCGCGUGACCCUGGCCGCCUGGUUCCCUGA